GCCGUUGUCGUAUAGGGGUUAGUACACUUCGUUGUGGCCGAAGAAACGUCAGUUCGAGUCUGAUCAACGGCA